CAUUUUCAGGCAACUGAGAAUCAUAUGAGGGUGUUUGGAAGGAACGCUCCCUAAGACAUGAAGUGGCUGUAAAUAAGUAUCCACCUCAGAGGAACAUACUGAUGGGCUAAUAUCAGUUGGUAGGUGCAUAUUAGGAGCUGACUCCUCCUGCACUUGAGCCCCUGACACACUGUGCCAGGUAGCUGCAACACAGGUGAACUAGACUCGUUCAGGGAUAACAGCUUUGAAACGGUAGGUCUGCUAGCAGCACAUUUCGGGUCUGACAGACGUCCCGACUUGGUCAAAUCCAAAUGGGAACUGGAAAUGUUGGAGAACAAGGCCUCUGAAGUGGGAAGAAAACAGCCAUCAAACGGAAAAAAGAAAAGAAAAGAAAAGAAAGAUAUUUGAUUUUGACUACAAAGGGAUUUUAUUUACAUAACAAAGCCAACUUUUUGCCAGCCAGAUCAAAAGUGAAAGAGCAACGACUGUACUUCUGAAAUAGCAGCAUUUUGUCCUAGCUGAACUAUGAUGCAGUGGCUCACGCCAGUAAUCCCAGUACUUUGGGAGGCCUAGGUGAGCGGAUCAGGAAGUCAGGAGUUCAAGACCAGCCUGAUCAACGUGGUGAAACCUCAUCUCUACUAAAAAUACAAAAAUUAGCCACCUGUGGAGGUGCAUGCUUGUAAUCCCAGCUACUCAGGAGGCUGAGGCUGGCUACUCAGGAGGAUGAAAGCUUGAACCCAGGAGGCGGAGGUUGUGGCGAGCCAAGAUUUUGUCACUGAACUCUCAGCCUGGACGAUAGAGUGAGACUCCAUCUUAAAAAAAAUCGGCUUUCAUUUUUAACAGAACACAGUUGGAGAAACUGGUUAUCUUACCAAUGCUUUGACUGAAAUGGUGUGCUUUCCUUUAAGGAAUCAAACUUGACUUAUGAAACCAACAAUUUCCUUGGAAAAACUGACCUCAUAUUUUAUGUAUGAAGUCCCUGUUCAGGGUUUCUGCCCUGCGGUAUGUAAAAGAUAUCACUUUCUGAAAGGCCCAGAAGCUCUAGGUUUAUCUUGAAACCUCAAGUGGAGAGGAAAUUUAUCCAUCAUAGAUAUUUGAUGGCACAAAUCCAUUUUUUUAAAGCUCAGCUUUAAAAAUCUUAUCUGAGAUUUCUUCUAUGGAACAAGUUUCCACCAAAGACAAUUUAAAAGCAUAUGUUAAAAAUAACUUCUCACUGCAUUGUAUACAAAUAAUUUGAUGAAGUAAAAUAAGGCAAAAUAGUCCUACCAUAAUUUGUAUUUGGCAAAAAUGGGAAAGUGAAGAGAGAAAAAUUAUGUUUCAAAAAGUAUAGUACCUGUAUUGUUAGAUUAUAGUCAGUGUUUUUCAAUUUUUAUUUUCUAUAGUUUGGACCAAAUUCUAAUUUUUCUUGGCUACAAGUCUUCAAAAAAAUGUUUUUAAUUUUUUUCUUUCUCUAUUCCCCCAUUGUUCCUAAUUUGGAUCUCUAAAAUCUAAGCUGUGCUUUCUUAGAGCCCUGCAAACUGAAGUCAGAGAACUUAAACUUCAGAUGAAAGUAAUAGCAACUUUUUUUCAUACAUCAGCCACUUUUCAUACCUGCCUACUGAUUUAUGGACUUCAAAGUAAUAUAGCCUUUAUUAAUUUUUCCAGGAUUGUUCUUUUGUUUCUUGCUGUUUUUCUCCCUUUCUCUUCCUAUUUUCUCUUCAUAGAGCAUGGAAGACUUCGCAAUCUGCCAAAGAUUAGCUUUUGGGACCUACCCAUCUAGUAAUAAACCGUCCUAACCAUGAGAAAUCGGAAGAAACCUGAAACCAGAGACUCACGUUCUCCUAAAAUGCUUUCUCCUAAAGAUUUUUUAAAAAGGGAAGGGGGAAUGUGAAAGGGAAUUAUUUUGGGCCCCUUCAAACUGGGAACUGCUCAGGGCAAACCUGUCUCUCAUUCUAUUCGAAGUCAUUUCUCUGCUCACUGAGAUAGAUGCACAUUCUGAUUGCCUCUUUUGGAAAGGCCUAUCAGGAACUAAAAUAAAAAUGCAACCAUUUGUCUUCCACUUAUAUGAGACCUUGAAGCCCCCUCUCUGCCUCAAGUUGUCCCCACCUUUCUGGAUAGAACCAAUGCACUUCUUAGAUAUAUUAAUUGAUAUCUCAUGUCUUCCCAAAAUGCAUAAAACCCACUGUGCCCUGACUACCUUGGACUCCCUCAAGACUUCCUGAGGUUGUAUCAUGGGCACUCGUCCUUAACUUUGGCAAAUAAACCUCCUAAAAUGAUUGAGACUUGUCUCAUUGUUUUUCUCAAUUGACAAAUGAUAGUUCAAGACCUCUAUAGUUUUCCAUAGAUCACAUUUCAUCUUAGAUAGGUUCAGGUAAGUAUUUACAAUUACUGUUAGUUGUCUUGUUUCCUCUGGCCUUCUUUUCACCUAGUUGUCUUAUAGUCGCUUCCUUCUUGGCUGUUUUCUUUGACUCAUUUGCUUAGAAAAUCAUUUUACCCUCUUCAUUUUGCAAUUAAAACCCCUGACCUUAUGUAAAAUUCAAAUCUCUGUUUCUCCUGGCCCUUUUAUAACCCUUUAAGAAACACUUAACUGUCUAGUCUGGAGAAAUAUGUCAGUAUUACUUACUUAUGGAACAUUGCAUUGAAUUUGUAGAUUUUCAUUGCAUUCUAAAAAUAUUUGGAAAAUUCUAGUUUGUAAAAAUUUGAUAAUAACGUUUGAACUGACCAUAUGGCUAAUACUUGAAUGAGUCAAAAGUAUUAAUCAAAUACAUUACAAGUAUGGGUAGGUAUAUUCAUUAACGCUGGCAGUGUUCUGUUUGGACAGAAAGAAAAAUCUUGAAUGGGAUACAAAAGGAAGCUAUGAAGAGUGCCUUACUGAAAAUUCUUUAAAAGUAGCCAAUGGCAUCAUUCACUUGGAUUGGCAGGUGAGUGUAGGUACACCAAGUUUAUUUUUCAUUUUUGUCAUUAAUUGUAUGAUUUUUGGAUACUUGAUUCAUCAGCAUUUCAGAAUCCUCAUUUAUAAUACCAUGAUAGUAAAGUAGAAUGCCUCUAAAUGUGUAAUACUAGAAGUGGUUAUGCAAGACAGAAGGUCAGAAUUAACCUAGGAUGGGAGCUAUACCAGGAACCCUUGAAGAUAACACCACUGCAUUGCUUAGUUGUUUGAACAUCUGCCUCCCAAGGCUAGACACUUAGAACUUAUUAGGUCAAUUACAGCUUUCCAAAAGCUAGGGUAGGUCAGUCUAUUUAUAUUAUAUUCUUUGUAUAACAACUAGGUUUUCUAUCACUUUUCCAGAUAUACAUUUUAUGGUUUGUCAUAUAUAUAUGUAGAGUUUUUUUCUAAAACACAUUAUCAUAUUUACAUAAACAUAGUUCUAAAAUUAUUGUUAAAUGCAUAGAGUUUUCUUAAAAUAUCUAUAUACAUUGCAACUUAGGAUCUCUGGUUUUCCUUAUUUUGUGGCAUAAACAUUUCCUGGAGUCAUAGUAAUUUAAGUAAGUAGGAUAGCUAAAAAUCUGCAGUUUAUGCUUUCAAAUUUUGUCUGUUUAGUUUCUAAGUUAAUAAUUAUAUAAAAUCCAUAGGAAUCUAGACUAAACUAACAAAAAUUGAAAAAUAUCCAAUGUGUGGGAGCUAUCUGACAUGGCAAAAUAGUCUGAUCAAAUUUGUUGAAACCCCCACCCGUUCUUGCUUGUCUUGAAUCUGGCUAGGUUGAAGCAAAUUCAGUACCUGGUUCACAUUGAAGAGCAGGCUCAAGCCUCUUCCAGAGACACUCACUUUUCUCUUUGUUUGGAUAGUUUCACCAUGAUUAAAAGUAAAACAAUUUCCAUAUUCAGUGAAGACAUGUGCAAAAUCCUCCAAUAUAUAAAUAAACCAAAAAAACCCCAUCAAUUUGAUAGUUUUGUCACUUCUAAAGUUUAAUUACUAUAACAUUUUCUUCAAAAGUACAAAUAUCUAACAAGACUGCAGAAAUAUCAGAGAGAUAGUCUGAUUUAUAUGUAUAUACAAUGAUAGUUUUCUUUUUUCUGGUAAUACGCGUUUGUCAACUUGCAUGUGAUUAUUUAAAGGAGACAUUUACACAUAAAAUUAAGAAUGUAUUUCACAACAUUUUUAAAAAUUACUUGUUUUAUAUUUUCCUGAAGAUGUAUGGAAACAUGUUUUUCCCUGAAGUAGUGGAGCACUACUUCAGCAUCCUUUCUUGGAGGGGCUAUGCCUUCUGCAACCUGCAUGCUCAGUGUGGCAGUCAAUCACAUAACUCCAUUCCCUUGACCCUCCUUUUCCAGCCACUACAAAGGCAUGCAUGGGACACAAGUUGGGCCAAGCUUAAACCUCACCUUCUUGACUCUGUGGUUGGUUCAAGAAUUGAUAUGUGUCCCAAGUAGAGCUAAUCAGAUUCUUUGGUGAGAUUAUUAAGUGGAUACUGGAGUGAUAAACUCUGAUAAUGAAAGUCUAGGGGGAAUCAGCAGCCAUUCUGGCGAAGUGUGGGGAGAACUCAUACAGAAAGAAGCCAACCAGAAUUAUGAGAUGGAAACAAAGUCAGAAUCUUAAAGAUAGUCUUGGAGUCCAUUGGUUUACCAUUUUCUGAAGCCAGACCUACUCUUGGAGUUCCCGCUUAAUAAAGCUGACUCAUUACUUUUACAUUUCAGUUUACUGUAACAGAAAUGGGAUUCUGUAAUAUGCAACUGAAAAAGUCAUCCCUAAAAUGAAAUUUCUUGGUGGUAAGUUAAACAUGUUGGUAAAUAAAAACAGCAUAGGAAAGCUUAUUUUCCAAAUUAAGAGUUUAGACCAGAACCUCACCUCUGUGAAGUGUCUCUCAGGCAUUACUUUACUGCUUACUGUGUGCUAAGAUGGCCUACCAAAAAGAUAAGAAAUUGUAACCCAGAACCAAGAAUUUGUGAAGUUCCUUAGACUCCCUUAACAACCCAGGCUACAGAAUUGCUGAUACAAGAAAUAUGGCAUCAAAUUGCCUACAUACUUCCUUGUUAAUAGAUUACAGAUAUAUCUAGUACUUUAUCUUAAAUGUAGAUUCAUUUUAUAAAUAAUAACAUAAUUUUGUAUUUGUUAUGCAUUUGUGUUGUAUUUGUACUUAUUAUGAGUGAAUGUAUAUUAUAUAUAAUUAUGUUAUUAUAUAUAAUAUAUAAUUAAAGUGUAUAUAAUGUUCAUAGUUAAAUGCUGGAGUCCUCUUGUUUUCUAUAGCCUCUAAUGCAAUACCGAAAGAAUAAAAGCAGAGUGAUGGAUACUUGGUGAUUAUAAAAAUGCUAUGUUGGAAUAGAUUGUUUGUUGAUAAGUGAAAAAAAUUAAAAUACCCUUUUGUGUUAAAUUGUUUUUAUUUUGGAAGGACUAUACUACAAGAAAGGCAAUAAAGUUUUCUCUUUUCUUUCUUUUCUUAUCUAAA